GACGUAGGUGGCGAGCGUUGUUCGGAAUCACUGGGCAUAAAGCGCACGUAGGCGGCCAAGUCAGUCAGGUGUGAAAUACCUCGGCUCAACCGAGGAACUGCGCCUGAUACUGUUUGGCUUGAGGUCCGGAGGGGAGAGUGGAAUUCCCGGUGUAGCGGUGAAAUGCGUAGAGAUCGGGAAGAACGCCGGCGGCGAAAGCGACUCUCUGGUCGGAAUCUGACGCUGAGGUGCGAAAGCGUGGGGAGCGAACAGG
rnacentral:rRNA from 1 species